GGGUGCAUCUAGGGGUCAUCACUGUACUUAGCAUACAGUAUGCAAUCUACCCAUCAAGCAAGGGCACUAAGCAAGGAGAGAUGGCUUUGCACUCUCAUCCUGGAUGAGGAGAAGGAAGGAGUCUCUAUACUGCAGAUUGCUAGCAUUGCGCUAUCAAUCAAAAGCAAAGAAAGUGAAAUUUAACAAAAUGGGCUGGGGGGAAAUUAUACCUGUCCAGCCACUUGCUUUUAUGGCUAAGGACUGCAGAUUGAAAGUGCACUGUCAAAUCUGAAAGAGGAACACAAUGUGUGUAGAGCUCUUUCAUUGCAUGUAGAUGCUUUGCAGAGUGGUGCAAUCAUAGCUUCCUUCCAUGUGCUCAUGCAGUAGAAUUCAGACAGGAUGGUUGUGCAUCCCAUGUACAUUGUGUGCACAGUAGCUGAGAUAUAGAUCAGUAUGAGUGGUUGCUCUGCUUGUGCAUGGGGACUUUUACACUCCCCUCCAAGUGGCAUUCCCCACACAUCCUCCCAAGGUUGGGGUACCUCUGGAGUAUGAAUAGUACUGAAGCACAUAAAAUGUACUGGAAUACUUAAAAAAAAUUUUUUUUUUUACUUGUUUUGAGUUGUAGUUUAUAUAUGUAUGCCAUGUAUUUGGCAUAUGCUUGUUUAUUUCUGUGCACUUUUUGAGCGCAUAUCUGCAUUGCAAAAUUCAGAGAAAUGCGGAAACUGCUUGUUGUGGUCUGCUCUAUGCAGAUGGUUCUGAGAGUUCACAUCGGUUUGGUCCAUAUCGAAAUUCAGAUUUAAUCACAGAGUUGGAAGGCACCCCCUGCAAUGCAGGAAUCUCAACAUGCACUCCCCUCAAUUUGAAACCAUACCAGCCCAUGCUUAGCUUUUCAAAUGUGCUAGCAGUUUUAUUUAGAGGUGCCUCUAAAUGUGAGGGGUGUGGGCCUGAUCUGUGGUGAUCAGUGCCCUUGCAUUUCAUCAUUUGCACCAUUUUUUGGGUGACGAAAAGGGUAAUGAAGAAACAUGAAGAAUCUCGACUGCUCAUCACACACAAUCUCAGUAGUUCAUCACAGAGGAAGAGUUUGGCUCCGGCCGACUUUGUUCCAUUUGCUUGCUUAUUAACUCUCUCUGCAUUCCCAGGACUAUGCUUCAUAAAAGACUGCAAGGUGACAGCACCUGUUCAUAAUGCUUCUAAGUGCUACUUUGCAGGAUGCAGUAGAGUCUGUAACCCUGAGGCACUAAGCUGUUUAAUGAUGUUAUUGUAUGUACCUGGUUAGUAUUCUCUAAGUAGAUCUUAUAAAAAAUGUGUAGUAUACUAAAUUAUACAUUUGAAAGCUAACAAUAAUAAGGGUGUGCAACCUCCCAAAAGUGCAACAGCCUUUGUACUUAUAAGCCUCACUUGGGCAGCACAUAUAUUAAAUAUAAACAGCGCAGAUGAUUCUGUUGAGUCUGCCUAAUACAUUCCAGCAUGUUUGCCUGUCCUGAAACAAACCAGGAUUAGCUUUCAAAAACAAAAGUUUGUACAAUAUUUGGAUAGCUAACAAAUAAUUGCUGUUUCUGAAAACAAAAUACAUUUCAUGAGCUAUUCUCAGGAGCCAAGUUGCAAAUAACUAUGAAGCAGGUAGCUUCCAAUAGACCAUGAAAAUCAGAUUGUGCAGAGGGCAGCGUGAAAAUAGACUUGCAUUUUGGAAAGCCGAAUAUUAUUACAUACAUACAGGUUUGAUUACUAAAAUAUACCAGCCUUAAGUUAUCAAAUGAGUGAAGCUUGGCAUGCACACUGGCCUUAACCCUAUGUUUCAGGUUUGGAAAACUCAUUUUUCAUUUCUAAGAGAUUUUCAUUGCAAUCAAUCACAAGAUGGUUCUCCUUGCGAAAGACAUAAGUGAUAUGCUCUGGGCACAGAUUCUGAUGUUUCUGCUUGCAGAAUUUGGUUUUCAUUUGUGCAAAAUUGUUUUGGACAGAGGACCCACCCAUAAAAUGUAAUCACGUACCAUGCUGAGUUCUGAGAGGCACUAAAACCCUGAAAAAAAGUAGCAGUCAAUAAUGUUAUGAUGAUAGAUGAGGCAAAAAAAAUGAAAAUAUUAAUUUUCAGAUCUGCAGUAAGAAGUAGUGAGCCUGAACACUGUGUCCAGGAUUCAAUUUCUGACUUGUAGCAGACAGUUCAAGUUGAAGCAUUAUAAGAGAGAGGCAGUGCUAAUUUGACUUUGACAUUGAGCCAUAUCAAAUUAGGAGAGAGAAAUGCAUUUAAUUAAGACAUCCAGAGAAUCAUAACUACCAUUUUGUGAUUUAUCACUGAAUUUUAGAAGUUAACUUUGUUUUACUGUGACUUUUUCCAAUAUUAAAAUUCAGGACCAUCUGCAUAGACUUUCUCUGUGCAUAUUUCAAACUCUGGGAGAGCUCAAGUUUGAAUUAGAGCUGAUGUGUGGACAUUGUUCAUUAUUAAGACAUGCUAUGUGUGCCCUGAAGAAAGGUCAAGAGAUCCUGAAAUAUAGAAACAUUCUUAACAGCACCUGCUCCAGAAUAAUGAUAUGAUCCCAAAUCAGUUCCAGUAACCCUGGGGAUUGAAAUUUGUAGCUGCUCCUAUGAACUAUGAUAAUUGGUAAGUCAAUGCUCUCCAAAGCUGUCUGUUGGGAAAAUGCAAAUAAAUAUAAGUUGUAACGAACCAUGGGUGAUAUUGUGGCAGCUCUGUGCAGUCGCUUACCCAUAAGGACAAUUCUGGAGUAUUUCCCAAGGGGCAGCAUCUACACAGGGAAGAAGCAACACUUUCCAGAGUGAUGUUCAGAGGUCAGUGCCCUGGAAGAGGGAAAACAGAAAAGAACUCACCAUGGAAUUGGAUCCACACAUUAUAGUCCUAGAUUAGUUAGAUACCUAGUGGUUUUCUUUUCUUCUUGAUAGAAACACAGAUAGCGUUAGCAGAGGAAUCAGUGAAACAUCAAGUACAGGCUUACGCAAAGAUGGAAGCAGGUAACUGUUCCAUUUGUUAAAGGCAACCAUGACUGUGAAAGAAACAGAUUUUGCCUAAAUGGAUGGUUUGUAUGUAGACUGUUUUGUGUUAUGUGACCAUGUAAAGUCUGGCUUGUGUCUGUUUGUGGAUGACAGGUUUAAUUUGCCUUGCUCUGAGCUCAGAUGCAACAGUACAUGGGGGAGGAAAGAGGGGGUUGUUUUAUCUUGCAAGCUGAAAAACUUGCCCAGUGGCAGACCCUCCAAGUGUCCCUAUUUUCAAGGGACAUUCCUGAUUUAGAGAAGCCAUCCCGGUUUCUGAUUUGAUCCCAGAAUAUCUAACUUUUCCUUAGGACACCCCUAUUUUCACUGAAGAAAUGUUGGAGGGUAUGGUAGGAGGUUCCUAUUUUCAUUGGAAGAAUGUUGGAGGGUUCUCUGACACCAGAGCCGUCUGAAGGCAAUCCUGUAUAUGGAAGGUUGGGGGUUUUUUUAAUGUUUACUGCUUUCUUAUGUUUUUAUAUAUGUUGGAAGCUGCCCAGAGUGGCUAGGCAACCCAGUUAAGAUGUGUGGGGUAUAAAUAGUAAAAUUAUAAUUAUGGAAUGGGACGUUCCGAUUUUCAUUGGAGAAAUGUUGGAGGGUAUGCAAUGGAACAAUUGAGGUGUUGAAUUCCUCCUUGUGUAACUCUACCAUAGAGAUGGCACCAGGCACAUCAUUGCAUGAUAUGCCGCUUUAGAAUUGCUGAUGUAAGCUUGGGCUUCCCAUAGACAUCUGGUUGGCUGCGGUGAUAACAGGAUGCUGGAUUAGACAGGCCUUUGGUCUGAUCUAGCAGGCUCUUCUUAUGUUCCUUUGUGCAAAAAAAGGCUGACUAGGGAGCUGCACACAUGACCCCCCCCACACAUGUGUUCAUCAAGCACAUGAAGCAAGAGCAAGGAUCGUGGCUCCUGGCUCCAUUACCCAAACAGCAGAAUGUUUGCUGGCCACAGCUUCAUUGGCUGCAUGGGAUAUGCAUGUGUAAGCUAUACAUAUGGAGGGCUCUUCCUUUCAGCUGGGGAGAGUUGGUUAGUGCACGGUUGCUGGUUACCAAGAAGAGCAUUUUGAGCACACAACUGAAUGUCUGUAGGGCUCUCUCUCAUUAAUGCUGCAGGAGGGAUCACUUCUGCACUGGGGUCAAGCCAGUGGUCCCCUUUGGAUGUGUGCAUAAGGGCAGGCCAUGUGUCCAGGAGUAUUGUUGUUGCAAAACCCAAACUCUGAAGAAUGAUUUAUAGAUGUCCUCAAUGAAAAUGGAAUAUAUAAUGAGAAAAACACUUCGUCUUUUCAAAAGCCGGCCUUAAGCAAACAAACAAAAGUGUUUCUGUUCUUUUCAGAGAGUUCUACAUUUUGAGCCCUCAUUUUUCUGUCUGCAGGGAUGAGAGUUGAAAAUCAAAAGGAAAAAAGUAAGAGUUCCACUCACAGUGGUCGUUCCCUGAACAAUGCUCUUCUGGAGCUUCCACAUCUGGCAGUCAAAUAAAAGAUCUCUGUUCCUGCAGGUUUGCUACUUAAUUGGUCGCCAAUCAAAGACAUUCUUCUGUGCUCUAAUCUCCUAAAACAGGGCCACAGUGUGGAGGGAUCACAUCUGAUUCUUUCCCUUCACUUCAUGCUUCUCUGUUAUAAGAGUUACAAAGGGAGAUAUUUGAAAUGUCUAUGGCGGUUAUGAAAAUCUCAACUAUUGAAAGCUUUGAUAUGCAGGUAUUUGAUGGACUCACGUGUAUGGAGUAGUCAGCAGAUAGUAGUAGGUCCCUGAAGUUCAUAAUUACCUGGCUCAAAACUCAAACUUGUCAAGUUCAUAAUUCUCAGUUGCAUUAUAAAGUGAGAGGCAUUUGCUACUCCGCAAUCUUCUCUGGUUUGGGUUAUAAGUGAGCUGGAGCCUUUUUUUGCCUUUGCCCUUCCUUAGCAACUGACAUUGCAACUGAACACUGUAACAACAUCACCCCAGGUGUUAUGGACUACAGAAUAUCACCUUCCCGCCCCCCUAGCAACUAAGUCCUUGUUAUGGUUGUCCGACACCCUGAAGACUUUUAAGGUCCAACACACAACGCUGCUGUUGUGCACAAGAUUGUGGUCCCUCAAAAAGUGCUGAAUUUGCACUAGAGCACAGCUCCCCAAAUGGUGGUUGUGCUCUUGUGGGGGGGAAUGGGGUGUCCUGUUUCUUCUGAGACUGUUGUGGGGUAUGAAGGUGCCAGAGAGGGAGGCCUCUGUAGGUGCCUUUAGUGAAACCUGUCUUCCACUGUCACCAUGUGGGUGGAAUGGAAAGGGAAAGGGAUAGUAAGGGGCUGCGGGACAGAGACUGCCACAAGGUCUGAGUUGUAGAACUAGGCUUGGAAAAGCCAAUGUCGUAUUCCACUAGGAAUAGUUCCAUUUACUGAACCCAGUUCCAAACUGAACAGGGUGGGAGUGGUUUGUAUAUGUUGAGAGUUUGUUGGGUGUGCAUCAGAAACACCCAAGUAACUCAAGUGGUAGUCUAGAGCCAGACACUGUCUCUUGGUGUCAUGAGGUUGUUGUGAAUAUAGAAUGGAAAUCCCCUGUGUGUCACCGCGAGCCGAAAGACAAGAUACAAAGGUUAGUAAAAUAACAACGAAUAAUGGUGGCCAGAACCACUGAGCCACUUCAUGCAAUUAGGAGAGAGAGAGAGAGAGACAGAUCAUUGCCUUUUAUGGCACGGAACACAUCCUCUAUUCAAGAACUAAGGAAUAUCUUGCAUGUUCUACAAUCUAAGCUACAGUCCUAUGCACAGC
rnacentral:lncRNA from 1 species